UCUCUCUCUCUCGUCGCCCUGGGAUCCGUGUUUUGCAUCUCUCCCCAAUUUGCAUUUCUUCUUCACAUUUUCCGUGCGACGGUCUAGCAGCUCGAAACCAUAGAAUAAGGCGUACAACCGCAGCAAUAUCUACAUGCUCCUGGCGUUUCCAAAGCAAUACGCACAGCAGAACCCAUUGGAAAAUUUGAAUAAUGUUGCCGAAGCUUUCCGAAGGGGGAAAUUGAGGAAUUUCUUUGGAUCAAUCCGUUUGUUGCGCACUAGAGGAGACACAUGCCUUCGAGGUAAACAGACAGCAGGACUGGACAGCCAGAUAGUAGCCUAGGUUAUAUUGUUGUUGUCCUGCGUUAUAAGCGGUUACAAGCUUUUAUAACGCCACGGUAGUGGUCCUAAAGUCGAGCAGAUCUUCAUAUUUUUCGAUUGUGCGCCUUGGUUGGUUAUUGAGACGCAGUUGGAAAUGUCUGAAGUACUACAAGACGAAAUGAGUAAUUAUGGAAAUGAGGACGAUGAGGGACACCUUUCCUUCACCUGUCGCCUACAAGACACCAACAACUUCUUCAGCGGCUCGCAGGGGGGCAAACGCCCGCCCAAACUUGGACAGAUAGGCAGAAGCAAACGAGUCGUCGAGGAUGAGAGUGGCGUUGACGAGGCGCAGAAAAACGGGACAGAGAAAACACAGACGGAGGCUUAAACACACCACCCCCGGCCGCCCAAAAGACAUUGAUUCUCAUUUUCUAUUCAAAAUUAACAGUUUUAAUCCAAAGACACUGUAUAUAAGCACUUUUAUCCCAUGUGGCAGCAAGCACUUCCAGACCCUCUCCCCCCUCUCCCAGUCCUCAUGAUGGUGAUCUCCUGGGACUUAUACUGGCAGGAUGGGGAAGCAGCCAAGACAGAGAUGAAGACAGAGACAGACACAGAGAUAGAGACAGAGACGGUAAUGGAUACAGAGGCCCAGGUGAAUGCUGUCAUGCCAGGGUUUACGCCCAUAGAGCUUGUCUAAAACAAGUAUGACCAACCUUCCACAUAGAGAGCUACUGGGUGAGCAGCAGGGUUUUGCUAAAGCCCUACACAUUUUACACUAGUCAAUUAUUGGUCGUAGAAAACUCCUAAGCAGGCGACCAACAAGUGUAGCAGUCUAAAAACUGUAUUUUCACGGUCCUGGGUAGCAGCUAAUUCAUAGCAUUAGGUGUGUUAGAGUAGGGAUGGAUCAAAACCCUGCCGGAGGGGAUAGCUCUCAAGGAGGAGGGUCUAAACCAUGUGACCAGGAGAGGAUGUGGAUCAAGGAGGAAGAGGAGUUGAGGAAGAGGAGAAGGAGGAAGAGGAGAAGGAGGAAGAGGAGAGGAGGAAGAUAAGGUUCCAGCGGUAGAAGGAGACAAUGCUGUCGAACAGGCGCAGAAAUCAGGGAACAAACUAUAGACAUGAUCUAAUAAACUAAAGCACACACUCUUAUAUCAAUCAAACCAUAUGAUAUUACAUUACCAUUCUUUCUGCUCUUGAUUCUUCUAAAGACAAGUGCAAACAAAUAAAUCAUAUAAAUAACUUGUAAAUAACAAAUGGUACAGAUGUAGGAUCUUAAUUUGAUCACCCUGUUGCAGUAAAACUUGUAGUGUAUUUGAGGUUUAAAAGGGCAUCUGAAGUUAGUAAUUUCCACUUUGAAAUUUCAGACUUGAUUUUCCCUAAUGAAAAAUCUGUCAACCCCUACAAGUGUCCAUUAAUUAUAAUCCACAUAAGAAUUAACAUUUCCUGUUGCUGCAGGAUUAUUUUCCUGCUGUAGCAAACUGGCUCAAAUUAAGAUCCUGCAUCUGUAGCCCCACGUUCUGUUAGCCUGUGUGCCAGUCGGUUUCUGCUCUCUUGUCAACUCCUUGUGGAAUUCUCAUGUUUGGCGUGACAAUGAGUCGUGAUGUGGACCUGGCAAGACAGCACGAACAGAUCUGAGACCAGGCUAACGUUUUGUUGCACAGCUGAGAAUAGAAGCAGUGAAAUGGUUUGUUGUAAUCUAACGUAAUGUGUCUGUAUAAAGAGACCUUAUUUAUUGACCCUUUGGAUAAGUCUUUUGCAGUGCUCAAGGCCUGACUGAGGGAGAGUUUUGUAUGUAGAGACUUACGAUGACAGAAUUAAUUAAAGUGAUUUUUUCUUUUUUUUACUUCUUAUAAAUGUUGAUGUCGCCUGAUCAGUUUUUGUUACCAUCCUUUGCAGCUAUAGAGUAAUUUAUACACAUUAUACAGUACUGUACAUCACUUGUCUGUAAGGGGCCAAGAGGCCUAAAGUUUGGAUUGUUAAAUAUAACUAUACACACUCCCUAUUGAUAAACUAUUUCUAUUGCAUUGCGCAUUGUCCUGUGUGCCAAAUAUCAUGAGGGAUAACCAGACAACUUUGUUGUUUAUGUUGUGCUUUCUAUACGUUUAAUUGUAACAAUUUUUGUUAUUCUUCUGUUGUUGCUGUUGUUCAGGGCUCUUUCUUACCACUGAAUUACCAACUGAUGCAUGGCAGAAAUUGAAUCAUGCAUGGCAACGUUCUGAAGAUGAUCUAUUGUAUUCUAGAACACCUCAAAUACUGCUUUGAAUGACUAUCCUCCAGAACAGUCUUAACAUUACGUACGCUGUACUGUACUGUACUGUACUAUGAUCUCACUGAUUUGUACAGUAGCCUAAUAUCUUGUAAUAAAGAUUCUGAAGAAGUUAA